UACGUAGGGGGCGAGCGUUGUCCGGAUUUAUUGGGCGUAAAGAGCUCGUAGGCGGUUCGAUAAGUCGGACGUGAAAUCUCCACGCUCAACGUGGAGGGGCCGUUCGAUACUGUCGUGACUCGAGUCCGGUAGGGGAGUGUGGAAUUCCCGGUGUAGCGGUGAAAUGCGCAGAGAUCGGGAGGAACACCCGUAGCGAAGGCGGCACUCUGGGCCGGUACUGACGCUGAGGCGCGAAAGCCAGGGGAGCGAACGGG
rnacentral:rRNA from 1 species